CGACGUCUGAUUAGCUAGUUGGUGAGGUAAAGGCUCACCAAGGCGACGAUCAGUAGCGGGUCUGAGAGGAUGAUCCGCCACACUGGGACUGAGACACGGCCCAGACUCCUACUGGAGGCAGCAGUGGGGAAUUUUGGACAAUGGGCGCAAGCCUGAUCCAGCCAUGCCGCGUGUCUGAAGAAGGCCUUCGGGUUGUAAUUGCCGUAAAUAAUGGGAAGGAAUGACGGUACCUGAGGAGGAAGCCCCGGCUAACUACGUGCCAGCAGCCGCGGUAAUACGUAGGGGGCGAGCGUUGUCCGGAAUUACUGGGCGUAAAGGGCGAGUAGGCGGUUAUACAAGUCAGAUGUGAAAUACCAGGGCUUAACCCUGGAGCUGCAUUUGAAACUGUAUAACUUGAGUACAGGAGAGGAAAGUGGAAUCCCCAGUGUAGCGGUGAAAUGCGUAGAUAUUGGGGGGAACACCAGUGGCGAAGGCGACUUUCUGGACUGUAACUGACGCUGAGGCGCGAAAGCGUGGGGAGCAAACAGGAUUAGAUACCCUGGUAGUCCACGCUGUAAACGAUGGAUACUAGGUGUAGGAGGUAUCGACCCCUUCUGUGCCGCAGUUAACACAAUAAGUAUCCCACCUGGGGAGUACGGCCGCAAGGUUGAAACUCAAAGGAAUUGACGGGGGCCCGCACAAGCAGUGGAGUAUGUGGUUUAAUUCGAAGCAACGCGAAGAACCUUACCAGGGCUUGACAUCCCUUGAAUCCUGUGGAAACAUAGGCGCUCUUCGGAGCAAGGAGACAGGUGGUGCAUGGUUGUCGUCAGCUCGUGUCGUGAGAUGUUGGGUUAAGUCCCGCAACGAGCGCAACCCUUGUCGUUAGUUGCCAGCAUGUAAAGAUGGGCACUCUAGCGAGACUGCCGGUGACAAAUCGGAGGAAGGUGGGGACGACGUCAAAUCAUCAUGCCCCUUAUGUCCUGGGCUACACACGUACUACAAUGGCUGUAACAGUGGGAAGCGAAAGAGCAAUCUGGAGCAAAUCCCCAAAAGCAGCCCCAGUUCAGAUCGUGGGCUGAAACCCGCCCACGUGAAGGCGGAAUUGCUAGUAAUGGCAGGUCAGCAUACUGCCGUGAAUACGUUCCCGGGCCU
rnacentral:rRNA from 1 species